UUCUAACUGCUUAUAUUACAAUAUGAUUGGGGUAUAAAACAUCAGAUAUCAGUCGCUCUCCAUAUCUUCUUCAAGUGUGUUCAAGUCAGGGUUUUUGUUGUUAUAGUAUUAUCGCAAGAUGUUCCCAGUUUUAUUUGUCGUUUUGUUGGCCACACAAGGUGAAGGUCAGUUUUUAAAUGAAGUUGAUGAAUCAGAUAAAUGUAUCUGGCAGGUUUAUGAUUGUUAUAAAGAACUCAAUCCCAUCUAUAAUGCUAUACAGAGUUUCAAUCUGGAACCUCUGUCUAAAGGGAGACUACUCAUGGACAUCUGUAGACAACUACCUUUAGCGAUACAAUGUCAGAACGCCUAUAAAUGUGAAGUGAGUCCCACCUCUCAAAGAUAUAUUGAAUCGUCUACAGAAUUAUACAAGUUUAUCUGUAGUGAAAGAGCAAUUGUUAAAAUGGAGAAACGUUGUUGGAAGAAUUCAGAUUAUAAGAAAGGCUUGAAACAAUGUACAACAGAAUUUAAACUUAGAUCUCAGAAUGAAGUGUGCACUGACAUGAGUCAGUUGAAGAGUUGUCUGUCCCAAAAGAUCGAGGCUAUUGAAGACUGCAGUAUAUUGGCUGAUAUCUUCCUGGAUUAUCUACUGGAUAAAAUCGCUACUCACUUCAUUGGAAAUGUUUGUUAACUUCACCCGGCUGGAUAAUCAAAAAUCAAAAACUAAUAAAAUGGCGAACUCUAGAACCAUUAAAGGGUCUUUAAUGUCGAUUUUAGUGUUGUGUACAUUUUACUCUUGCUCAAACAGAAGGAUGGCGAACUAAAUUAAAAUCAACUAUGCAGUAUUUAAAAAAAAAGCGCAAAAACAUGUUUAUGAUAAUAAUUAUGUAAAUUCAUGUUUGAUGAUGUGGGACAGGCGUAUUAAUUGUUAUAUUUUACUUACAUUAAUAUCAUUGUAAAACCAGCGCCACUGAGCAACUGCACUGGCUGAUUAAGUCAGGGUGGUUUACAAAAGUAUUAAAUUAUCAUUAUUAACUAAAAACAAUUAGCAUAUUAUAGCUAAAUAUUGGAUAAAUACCAACAUACAAUAAUGACGUAACAAAUUCCGACAUAUAAUAAUGACGUAAUGGAUACCGACAUACAAUAAUGACGUAAUGAAUACCAACAUACAAUAAUGACGUAAUAAAAAACGACAUACAAUAGUGACGUGAUAAAUAAAACUGAACACAUUGUUGGAUUUGGAGGCUGAAUUGAUGACGUUGUUGAUUGCUUUUAAAACUUAUUAUAUAACUUUAGAAUUAGUUUGUUAAGAUGCAGAAUUUAAAUGAAUAAAAUAUUGUUCAUAGGA